CUAGAUUCUGAAUAUUAGAUCUUUGUCAGAUGCAUAGUUUGUAAAUAUUUUAUCCCAUUCUGUAGGUUGUCUGUUUACUCUGUUGAUAGUUUCUUUUGCUGUGCAGAAGCUCUUUAGUUUAAUUAGGUCCUACUUGUCAAUUUUUGUUUUUGUUGCUUUUGGAGACUUUGUCAUGAAAUCUUUGCCAAACCCAAUGUCCAGAAUGAUAUUUCCUAGGUUUUCUUCUGGGAUUCUUAGAGUUUGAGGUCUUAAAUUUAAGUCUUUAAUCCAUCUUGAGUUGAUAUUUGUAUAUGAUGAAAGGAAGGGGUCCAGUUUCAACUUUCUGUAUGUGGCUAGGUUCACACAGCUUACUGUCUACGUUAAUUGACUUCACAAUUCCCCUCUUUAUCAGCAUAACUGUAUGAUUCCAGGAAACUCUUGUCCAAGAAGAUAAAAGUUUUAAACACAGAUACAGUAUUAUCAAUUUGAGGAACUUCCUGAGUGGCCCAUCUGCUCUCAAAAAAAAGCAUCAAAUGACAGUUUAUACCCCAAGACUCUGUGAACACUUUGCCUCAAAACUCUCAGUUUGCUGUGUUCACCAAUCUACUUCCAUUUUAUUAGGAUUCGUAUUCAAUACUAACCAAGUCCCUGUCUUAGAUCAGACUUCGAAACCUCAGAAAGUCUCAGCAUCCUAACUUUGCCCUUCCUCCUCUGAGAUGUUAUUGAGACCCUAUUGAGAUAGCGUUCUCUCUGGCAGUUAGGGCAGGACUCCAGCCUGUGUGGAGCCAACAGUGUUUGAUGUGGGAACAUUUGCAGUGGAGCAUGGCCAGGGAUGCUCAUCCCCCAAGGCUCACCAUGCUCCUUCAGGAGACUUUAGCCUUAGGGUGACUGUCAGAACUGGACAGAGCAGGGCAGUCUUGCCUGUGGGACAGGGCCAAUUUUAUCUGAGCACCCCUCUGUCUGCUGGCAUUGCCUGGGGACCCAGCCUGCCCAUUCUCACUUGCAGCACAACUUUGGAUGCCCAACUGCUAUAUCCAGGGAACCUCAUCAUAGCUUCUUCAUUGUCAGACCACACCUCACUGUUGGAGAGCUCCAGCAGAUUGGCCCCUGGCAAUGCACAUCAGUCCACACACAGUCUCCCUCCACCAUUGACUCCCCCUGCCACUUUGCCAGCACACAUUUGUCUACAGCCCGUGCUCCACCACU
rnacentral:lncRNA from 1 species